rnacentral:rRNA from 1 species
UGCUAUACAUGCAGUCGAGCGGACUUACAAAAGCUUGCUUUUGUAAGUUAGCGGCGGACGGGUGAGUAACACGUGGGCAACCUGCCCUCGAGACUGGGAUAACUUCGGGAAACCGGAGCUAAUACCGGAUAAUAUAAGGAACCUCCUGGUUCCUUAUUGAAAGAUGGUUUCGGCUAUCACUUGAGGAUGGGCCCGCGGCGCAUUAGCUAGUUGGUGAGGUAACGGCUCACCAAGGCGACGAUGCGUAGCCGACCUGAGAGGGUGAUCGGCCACACUGGGACUGAGACACGGCCCAGACUCCUACGGGAGGCAGCAGUAGGGAAUCUUCCACAAUGGACGAAAGUCUGAUGGAGCAACGCCGCGUGAGUGAUGAAGGCCUUCGGGUCGUAAAGCUCUGUUGUUAGGGAAGAACAAGUGCGAGAGUAACUGCUCGCACCUUGACGGUACCUAACCAGAAAGCCACGGCUAACUACGUGCCAGCAGCCGCGGUAAUACGUAGGUGGCAAGCGUUAUCCGGAAUUAUUGGGCGUAAAGCGCGCGCAGGUGGUUUCUUAAGUCUGAUGUGAAAGCCCACGGCUCAACCGUGGAGGGUCAUUGGAAACUGGGGAACUUGAGUGCAGAAGAGGAAAGUGGAAUUCCAAGUGUAGCGGUGAAAUGCGUAGAGAUUUGGAGGAACACCAGUGGCGAAGGCGACUUUCUGGUCUGUAACUGACACUGAGGCGCGAAAGCGUGGGGAGCAAAACAGGAUUAGAUACCCUGGUAGUCCACGCCGUAAACGAUGAGUGCUAAGUGUUAGAGGGUUUCCGCCCUUUAGUGCUGCAGCUAACGCAUUAAGCACUCCGCCUGGGGAGUACGGUCGCAAGACUGAAACUCAAAGGAAUUGACGGGGGCCCGCACAAGCGGUGGAGCAUGUGGUUUAAUUCGAAGCAACGCGAAGAACCUUACCAGGUCUUGACAUCCUCUGACAACCCUAGAGAUAGGGCUUUCCCCUUCGGGGGACAGAGUGACAGGUGGUGCAUGGUUGUCGUCAGCUCGUGUCGUGAGAUGUUGGGUUAAGUCCCGCAACGAGCGCAACCCUUGAUCUUAGUUGCCAGCAUUAAGUUGGGCACUCUAAGGUGACUGCCGGUGACAAACCGGAGGAAGGUGGGGAUGACGUCAAAUCAUCAUGCCCCUUAUGACCUGGGCUACACACGUGCUACAAUGGACGGUACAAAGGGCAGCAAAACCGCGAGGUCGAGCCAAUCCCAUAAAACCGUUCUCAGUUCGGAUUGCAGGCUGCAACUCGCCUGCAUGAAGCCGGAAUCGCUAGUAAUCGCGGAUCAGCAUGCCGCGGUGAAUACGUUCCCGGGCCUUGUACACACCGCCCGUCACACCACGAGAGUUUGUAACACCCGAAGUCGGUGGGGUAACCUUUUGGAGCCAGCCGCCUA